GACGAACGCUGGCGGCGUGCUUAACACAUGCAAGUCGAACGGAAAGGCCCUGCUUUUGUGGGGUGCUCGAGUGGCGAACGGGUGAGUAACACGUGAGUAACCUGCCCUUGACUUUGGGAUAACUUCAGGAAACUGGGGCUAAUAUCGGAUAGGAUCUCCUGCUGCAUGGUGGGGGUUGGAAAGUUUCGGCGGGUGGGGAUGGACUCGCGGCUUAUCAGCUUGUUGGUGGGGUAGUGGCUUACCAAGGCUUUGACGGGUAGCCGGCCUGAGAGGGUGACCGGCCACAAUGGGACUGCGGUACGGCCCAGACUCCUACGGGAGGCAGCAGUGGGGAAUAUUGCACAAUGGGCGGGAGCCUGAUGCAGCAGCGCCGCGUGCGGGAUGACGGCCUUCGGGUUGUAAACCGCUUUCGCCUGUGACGAAGCGUGAGUGACGGUAAUGGGUGAAGAAGCACCGGCUAACUACGUG
rnacentral:rRNA from 1 species